rnacentral:lncRNA from 1 species
GUUUUGUAAGAUUCAUCAUAAGUGUGGUGAUAUUUCCUAAUUCCAGGGAAUGGAGCUAGUCAUGCCACACAUCUUUGCUGUUUUCACGAACUGAGGUAAUUUUUAUUUUUAUUUUUAUUUUUUUGAGGAACAGUCUUACUCUGUCACCCAGGCUGCAGUGUAGUGGUGUGAUCACAGCUCACUGCAGCCUUGACCUCCUGGGCUUAGGUGAUCCUCCCACCCUAGCCUCCCAUGUAGCUGGGACUAGAGGUAUGUGCCACCUCACCUCCUUUUUUUCUUUUCUUUUUCUUUUUUGGAGAGACAGAUUCUUCUUAUGUUGCUAUUUUAAACUCCUGAACUCAAGUGAUCCUCCUGCCUUGGCCUCCCAAAGUGCUGGGAUUACAGGUGUGAGACACUGCACCCUGCCCAAGCACCUCUGCUCCGUGCCAUGCUCUUGGCUAAUUGGAGUUGUGAAAGGCAUGAGGAUUCUGGUCAUGGACUCAGCUCUCCCAUAGGGUUCUGACACCAAAGCAAUGGUCACAACAGUGAAAGGAAGAAUCCAUCUGGCCAGGCUCAGGUGGUUCAAGGCCUUCAGAAUCUGCCUUGAGACUCUCACUGGCUUUAGACUGAAAACCAUCUUGGCCCCGUCCAUCCGUGUAAGCAAUUUAACGACAGCUUGCAAAGCACCGAGCUUUAACAGAAAGAAGAGAUGAGCACAGCGCAAGAACUUGGACUCCAGAAGAGCUGCCUAACAGAUUAUUUUUCUGUGGCAUUUCAUGAGAACAAACGAAGUAGGAAUUUUCCUUUUGUUUGUCUGGCCUUUGGCAUCGUUUACUUUCUUUUUAUUCUUCUGAAAUGUACUUCGAGCCCUGGCAGCAUUUCUGUCCUAAAAUCUUAUUGUCAGAGGUUUAUUUUUCAGCUUUUCAAAUCAUAUCUGAUAGAGUGAGUGUACUGCCUGGACUCAUCACUUUACUUCAGAAGAAAUACAGCUCACCCUUUAAAUGACAAUGGUGACUGUCCACAUCUUUAUGUUUUCUACACUGAAGUGGCAGGCUUCAUUUAAAAAUAAUGUUUUCCCUCAUCAAAAGAGAGCUAGGGUAGAACCGUCAACUCUGCUGUUGUCUGGGUAGUGACCUAACACCCACGUUUUGGACAAUCACUCACUGUCUUAUAUUGGGUUUUCAUUGCAUGUAGGAUAAUUCUUUGUCAAUGGUAGUUUUGUC